CAGGCGGAGGCCUGAGCCCCGGAGCCCCUCCUGGCACGCCCCUCCCCCGCCCAGGGCCAGGGCGGCCCGGCCGGUCCUCAGGAAUGUGCCCAGACCCGGGGUGCGGGGUGCCGGGAGGCCUCGCUCCAGCCUGCCAGCUGUCUCUUGCCCCCAGCACGGCUCCCCGCUGGCAGGGGUGGCUGGUGAGGGGGCCGGCCUGGCUCGCAGGCAGCAUGAGGCCUGCUGGUGUGGGGCCGCUGCCCAGCCUGGCAGGAGCCGCCAUGGGCUGCAACAGCCCCGGCAGCCAGCCCAGCCAGCCCCAAGCUCCCCCCACCGCCCCGCGCUGCUGCCCGCCUUGAGCGCCCACUCCACCAUGCCCAGAGCCCGGGCAGAUGGACAGGUCAGAGAGGUGGGCUGGGAGUUGUCCCCGCUAGGCUGACCCCAACACCCCCCAAGGAAGGGGUCUCUUGUGAACAGAGGCCCUGGGUGACUUUCCCAGCUCUCUGCUCCCAAGACCACUGCUUGGUGACCAACGGGUCCUGGCUGAGGCCCCAGGCGCCCCUCCUCCCCUCAGCUCAGGCCGCAAAAAGCCAAGGUGGCCAGUCCACCCCACCCCCCGGAAGGCCAGGCCCUACAGCUGACCAGGGACCCCAGGCCUCAUGGGGGUGCCUCUCCUGGCGCCCGGGAGGGCAGGAGGCAGUGAGAGAAACCCUCAGGUGCUUCAACCAGAUUCCACAGCAGCCGGUCCAACUUGGCCUGGACCACACGGAGCCCGGAGCCAGGGAGGCUGAGCUCUCGGGCUGCCCAUCCUUCUGCCUCCAGGUGGGAACGCGGGGGAACAGGGCCUGGCGACAGGCGCCCCCCCUCCAAGCAGAGAAGGGGGCAUCCCAGCCCACUAGGGGGCCGUGGGCCCCUCAAGAUGCCCGCUACCUGGCCGCCACGCCCCAGGGUCUUGAGCACAGUGGGUGCGUCACUGAGGCCACGGACACUCGCUGGCCACUGCCCCGCAAGCCUGGGUCCAGCCGACCUGGCGUGAGCGCCUGGCGCUCCAGGUGUGCCCUGACAGGUGUGAGCUGGGCCCUCCUGGGCUGCAGGAGGGGCACCUGGAGGCAGAGCGAGGCGGCCCCAGCUCCUGGCACCCUAUGCCAGCCUGAUAAGCAUCCUGUUCACAGGGAAGCCUCCAGCGCAGAUGAGAUCG
rnacentral:lncRNA from 1 species